AGCCAGGGGGAAGGAAACGUUAUAUGAUGAAACACCUAGUCUGGGCAAGCAGGGAGCUGGAAAGAUUUGCACUUGACCCUGGCC
rfam:HIV-1 isolate BR98005 from Brazil gag protein (gag) gene, partial cds.